CAAUAGCGUAUAUUAAAGUUGUUGCAGUUAAAAAGCUCGUAGUUGGAUUUCGGGACGGGCCAGUUGGUCCGCCGCAAGGUGUGUUACUGACUGGUCUGUUCUUCUUCGCAAAGACUGCGUGUGCUCUUCGUUGAGUGUGCGUAGGAUUUACGACGUUUACUUUGAAAAAAUUAGAGUGUUCAAAGCAGGCUAUCGCUUGAAUACAUGAGCAUGGAAUAAUGGAAUAGGACUUUGGUCCUAUUUUGUUGGUUUCUAGGACCGAAGUAAUGAUUAAGAGGGACAAUUGGGGGCGUCCGUAUUUCGUUGUCAGAGGUGAAAUUCUUGGAUUUACGAAAGACGAACAACUGCGAAAGCACUUGCCAAGAGUGUUUUCAUUAA
rnacentral:rRNA from 1 species